rnacentral:misc_RNA from 1 species
GAUGAAGAACGUAGCGAAAUGCGAUACGUAAUGUGAAUUGAAGAAUUCAGUGAAUCAUCGAAUCUUUGAACGCACAUUGCGCCCUUUGGUAUUCCUUAGGGCAUGCCUGUUCGAGCGUCAUUUGAAACCUCAAGCUCAGCUUGGUGUUGGGUGUCUGUCCCCGCCUCACCGCGGGGACUCGCCUCAAAAUCAUUGGCGGCCGGUACGUUGGCUUCGAGCGCAGCAGAAACGCGAACUCGAGGCCCGGCGGAUCGGCGACCAGAAGUCACUUCUUCACAGUUUGACCUCGGAUCAGGUAGGGAUACCCGCUGAACUUAAGCAUAUCAAUAAGCGGAGGA